UUCAAUCAAUUCCUCCUCUUUCCGCCAAUACAAGUACCCCCAAUGCCUUUCUCUACUAACAAAACAACAUGCAACAACAAAACAACAAUAACCCACAAAUAAAAAACAAAUAAAUACCCAAAAACUAUGAAAGUUCAUACUUCUGCUACCAAGAAAAGAACCCAACUUUUAUAAUAACACAAAAUUGCUACUCGAUUUUGCUAGAGAAAGAGAUAGCGAGAGACUAGAUGCCGUCAAGACCGCGGACUAUUACUGUAUGAAUUUCUUACCACGGACUAUUACUGUAUGAAUUUCUUUUCACUCCUAUAGAUUUUUAUCUGGGCCAGAGAAAUUUUAGAUGAAAUCUGUAAAAUUAUUGAAAUUAUCAUUUUCGCUAACUGUUUAUACCACUGAAAAGGGAUUUGAGCAUGAGAUUGGAACACGUACCUGAUGUAAUCAAGAUUUCUGAUUAGGGCUUUUGUUUUGCUAUCAGAUUGGUCACAAUUUGUGAUUUGAGCAGUUAAAAUUGAGAGAUUCGAACAGAGAGGAAAUUGAGUGGGAAAUUUUUUUAUAGAGAGACGAGUAAGGAGAAGAAGACUUACAUC
rnacentral:lncRNA from 1 species